rnacentral:rRNA from 1 species
AAAACAUCGCCUCCUGCAAUACAAUCAAGUAUAGGAGGUCCAGCCUGCCCAGUGACCACAAGUUCAACGGCCGCGGUAUUUUGACCGUGCAAAGGUAGCGCAAUCACUUGUCUUUUAAAUAGAGACCUGUAUGAAUGGCUAAACGAGGGCUUAACUGUCUCCCCUUUCAAGUCAGUGAAAUUGAUCUACCCGUGCAGAAGCGGGUAUAACAAUACAAGACGAGAAGACCCUUUGGAGCUUAAGGUACAAAACUCAACCACGUCAAGCAACUUAAUAAAAAGCAAAAACCUUGUGAAACAUGAGAUCCUACCUUCGGUUGGGGCGACCACGGAGGAGAAAAAAGCCUCCAAGUGGACUGGGACAAAUUCCUAAAACCAAGAGAGACAUCUCUAAGCCACAGAACAUCUGACCAAAUAUGAUCCGGCCACCAGGACCGAUCAACGAACCAAGUUACCCUAGGGAUAACAGCGCGAUCCCCUCCCAGAGUCCAUAUCGACGAGGGGGUUUACGACCUCGAUGUUGGAUCAGGACAUCCUAAUGGUGCAGCCGCUAUUAAGGGUUCGUUUGUUCAACGAUUAAAGUCCUACGUGA